GUACGAUAAAGGUAAACUCUGAGUGAUCAGGGGGCGCAAAUGAAAGGAUCUUUGUAUAAAUAGUGAGAUUGUGAAUAAAAGAUAGCCUUACUGCCGAA
rnacentral:ncRNA from 1 species